rnacentral:rRNA from 1 species
UUCUGGGAGGAUUGACAGGUAGAGAGCUCUUUCUUGAUUCGGUGGAUGGUGGUGCAUGUCCGUACUUAGUUGGUGGAGCAAUUUGUCUGUUUAAUUCGGAUAACGAACGAGACUGUAGCCUAAUAAAUAGGUGCGUGGUUCUCUGCACCUUGCACCCUUCUUAGCAGGACAAGCGGCUCCUAGCCGCACGAAACAGCGCUACACUCAAGGGAAUAGCGUGCUUUUA